UACGUAGGGUGCGAGCGUUGUCCGGAAUUAUUGGGCGUAAAGGGCUCGUAGGCGGUUUGUCGCGUCGGGAGUGAAAUCCACUGGCUUAACUGGUGGCUUGCUUUCGAUACGGGCAGACUGGAGGUAUGCAGGGGAGAACGGAAUUCCUGGUGUAGCGGUGAAAUGCGCAGAUAUCAGGAGGAACACCGGUGGCGAAGGCAGCCCCCUGGGCUAGCACUGACGCUCAGGCACGAAAGCGUGGGGAGCAAACAGG
rnacentral:rRNA from 1 species